rnacentral:rRNA from 1 species
GAUGAACGCUGGCGGCGUGCCUAAUACAUGCAAGUCGAGCGAAUGGAUUAAGAGCUUGCUCUUAUGAAGUUAGCGGCGGACGGGCGAGUAACACGUGGGUAACCUGCCCAUAAGACUGGGAUAACUCCGGGAAACCGGGGCUAAUACCGGAUAACAUUUUGAACCGCAUGGUUCGAAAUUGAAAGGCGGCUUCGGCUGUCACUUAUGGAUGGGCCCGCGUCGCAUUAGCUAGUUGGUGAGGUAACGGCUCACCAAUGCAACGAUGCGUAGCCGACCUGAGAGGGUGAUCGGCCACACUGGGACUGAAACACGGCCCAGACUCCUACGGGAGGCAGCAGUAGGGAAUCUUCCGCAAUGGACGAAAGUCUGACGGAGCAACGCCGCGUGAGUGAUGAAGGCUUUCGGGUCGUAAAACUCUGUUGUUAGGGAAGAACAAGUGCUAGUUGAAUAAGCUGGCACCUUGACGGUACCUAACCAGAAAGCCACGGCUAACUACGUGCCAGCCGCCGCAGUAA